UAUCAUCAUGUUCUUCAUUUUCUUUAUCUAGAAUCGAAAACCAUUGUUGAAGAACAUAAAAGAUUCGGUCAGGCUUUAUUGGUGUGCAAAUCAAGAAAAGAGGAACCCAGACUUAGAUCGAGGCAAGAACAAAGUACUCGACUAAUCGACUAGUUUUGUCUUUUUUACGUUCGAGAGAAUCAAAGCUAACUCGGACAUUGGGGAUCAUCGGGAAUCAUCAUCACACUAUCGACUACUUGUUGGUAUUUUUAGAUGCUUGUAAAUUUGAUAUAUGGCAUGUAUAGGCUAGUAAGUUGAUGAUAUGUUUAUGGUUUGAUAUAGCCAUGAGAUUGGGCUUGCUUUUGUUGGAAAUGUUGGUAUGUAUUUGGCCAUUUAAAUUGGCUUAAAAUUAUGUUUUGGAUAAGUGUUACAUGUGAUGUAUAAUGCCUUGUGUUUUGGCAUUGUUUGCCAUGGUUAUUGAUAUGACUAAAUGGUUACUCAUUUGGUUAGUUAUAAA